rnacentral:lncRNA from 1 species
AAUGAACAAAGUUACACCCCUAAUAUUUCCCAAUUCCAGUGAUCACUCCCCAUGCCAUUUAAUUACAUUGGCCCUCAUGGAUGCCUUUUACAGUCUCCUCCACUAAUCAUCAUAUGGCAUCUCACCAGCAGAAAGGAAAAUCUAUUGUCUGGCUACGACAACUGCUGGCCCUUCCACCUGAUAUAUCAUCCCACCAAUUUGAUAGUCAGUAAAAGUAAUUGGAAAUCAAGUUCAAUAAUGGAGAGCUGACUACACUAGAUUAUGCAUGCAAGAAAUGUUGGAAACCAACUGGUAUUAAAAUUAACCAGAAAUUAAUUAAAUUAAAUAGACAAUAGCAGGGCUUCCUAUAUGUAAAUAAAGGACAUUAACUGAGCACGAGGAUGAAUCCCUGAGAUUAUUACCCAAAUGAAAUUUAAUUACAAUCUUGGUGGCAUCCUAUUUGACUCUAGUUUUAAGAUCUAGCAGUACCUUCAAAAGAUAUUCUAUAGGACAACUACCAUUUAGAUCAGUGAAAUUUUGUUCAAAUGAGUUCUCAGGUUACUGGAAGAGACUUUGAGAAUUUAUCAACACUCGUUCCUAACUUAAUCUUCCCCAAUUUGCAAUACUGGUAGUUCACUAGUUCUAAGCUUUCAGAACAAACCAUGACAUCACAAGAUGGGAAUCCUAGGUUACAUCUGUUUUGUUGUAAUGACCUAUAGAAGCAUGGAGCACUGAAUCAGUAACUGUUUUAUAUAUUAAAUUUCAUUGUUACCUUGAAAGUCGCUCCCCAGAUUUCCUCCUCAUUAGCAGGAACUGCAGUAAUCUUAUUUUUAGGAUUCUCAUAGCACAUCAAUCCUCCAACAGCUGUAGAGUAGAAACAUCCUGUCCAAUUAGAGAGCAAAAAUGUCAACAAUGAUUUAGGAGAAAAGAAACAAAACUGAGACGAUGUUAUUGUAAAAUCUUAUUCUGCCCUAUACAACCCGCAGCACAUAUUAUAUGGUUCAUUUCCCCCUCUUGUAUUCUAAACCUUGUCAUACUAUUUCCAUCUUGGAAAGUUAAAUGAUCCGGUCUGAAUCACUAUAAGCACUAUUGGGAAUUGUAAUAUAAUAAACACAUGAUAUAGAAGUUAACCCACCUUGAGGGAAAGAAGCAAGUGACUUGCCACAAGCACCUUUAAGCAAUUCUGCAUCAUCGGCAAAUGCUACGUAGCCAUCAGCAGUAAUUCCCCAAUAUAGAGGUACCUUACCAUAUUGAUCCUGUCAAAAGUAAUACAAAGCAAAAUGAGCAAGAAAUGAAAGCUUAUGGUGGUGGAUCAUGACAAUUAGUAGGUUGGACUACGAUGACUUACAGAGGCCACAAAGAGGGUAGAAGUAGAUUUGUCAAAAACUAUGAAAGCAAAGCUCCCACUGAGAUGGCCAACAACGUGAUUAGCAGGGUAGGGUGCUCUGUCACGCAAUGCUUUGUAAGCCUCAAUGACCAACAAUACUUCAUUGGUUGACUU